ensembl:lncRNA novel transcript
GUUGGAAAAGGGCUUGCUUCUGUGUCCUUGUGCCCACUUUGAAAAUCCCUGGGAAGUCCUUGGAGUCAGAUGAGCAGGCCUCCGCCACUCUGCCAAAAAGUCUGUUCAAAAAAUAUGGGAGACCUCAAUCAGCUGAAGUUCAACAUGUUCAAAGGUGGACAAAGUUUCUCGUUGCUCUAAGUAAGUUUAAAAUUGAGCCAAAAAGGUCUUGAUUGAUAAGGGUGGCUGAUACAUUUUUGAAUGUUUUCACUGGCAUGAUUCACAAAAUUGUAUAAAUUGUAUAGUCCCAGGCUAUCCCACCAUUAACUGCCUCAUGGGGACUGUCUCUAACUUCCCCAGGACUUGAUCCAUAGGGAAAUGCUUGCAAGAAUAAAAAGCAUUAAUGAA